AGAGUUUGAUCCUGGCUCAGGACGAACGCUGGCGGCGUGCUUAACACAUGCAAGUCGAACGGAAAGGCCCUUCGGGGUACUCGAGUGGCGAACGGGUGAGUAACACGUGGGUGAUCUGCCCUGCACUUUGGGAUAAGCCUGGGAAACUGGGUCUAAUACCGAAUAUGACCAUGCGCCUCCUGGUGUGUGGUGGAAAGCUUUUGCGGUGUGGGAUGGGCCCGCGGCCUAUCAGCUUGUUGGUGGGGUAAUGGCCUACCAAGGCGACGACGGGUAGCCGGCCUGAGAGGGUGACCGGCCACACUGGGACUGAGAUACGGCCCAGACUCCUACGGGAGGCAGCAGUGGGGAAUAUUGCACAAUGGGCGCAAGCCUGAUGCAGCGACGCCGCGUGAGGGAUGACGGCCUUCGGGUUGCAAACCUCUUUCAGCACAGACGAAGCGCAAGUGACGGUAUGUGCAGAAGAAGGACCGGCCAACUACGUGCCAGCAGCCGCGGUAAUACGUAGGGUCCGAGCGUUGUCCGGAAUUACUGGGCGUAAAGAGCUCGUAGGUGGUUUGUCGCGUUGUUCGUGAAAACUCACAGCUUAACUGUGGGCGUGCGGGCGAUACGGGCAGACUUGAGUACUGCAGGGGAGACUGGAAUUCCUGGUGUAGCGGUGGAAUGCGCAGAUAUCAGGAGGAACACCGGUGGCGAAGGCGGGUCUCUGGGCAGUAACUGACGCUGAGGAGCGAAAGCGUGGGGAGCGAACAGGAUUAGAUACCCUGGUAGUCC
rnacentral:rRNA from 1 species